ensembl:lncRNA
GGCAUUCAUCAAACAAGCUCGUGCCAAACAAAUCUUCCAUCCUAGGAAAUUGCUUUGACGUAAAGCAAGUCAUCCGAAUGUGUACUUGUAAACGCUCUGUUUACUUAAUUGAAGCAAAUGCAUUGAAGAGGUGCAGAAAGAUGAGAAUAUAAACAUGGACAAACACGUUUAUAGGCUCCAGAAAAAAAUAGUGUAGCGUUUCCUUAAAUCACUUUUGCCGCGUUGCGUGUUCAGAGCAAAUUCGAAUGGAAAAUUGUUCUCGUUUGCUAGCUCACGUAUCAAAGAGAAGAGUUCUCUCACCUUCGAUAGCUCAGUUGGCAGAGCGGCGGACUGUAGGUGCUCAUAGCGGUCAUCCUUAGGUCGCUGGUUCGACUCCGGCUCGAAGGAGGGCUGUCUCCGUGCGAGUUGGCUUCUUUUUUUUUCAAAAUGUUAAUUUGGCCAGAG